rnacentral:rRNA from 1 species
GAUGAAUGCUGGCGGCGUGCCUAACACAUGCAAGUCGAGCGGUAACAGGAGUAGUUUACUACUUGCUGACGAGCGGCGGACGGCUGAGUAACGCGUGGGAACGUGCCCCAAAGUGAGGAAUAACUGCCCGAAAGGGUAGCUAAUACCGCAUAUGAUCUUCGGAUUAAAGGAUUUAUCCGCUUUGGGAGCGGCCCGCGUCGGAUUAGGUAGUUGGUGAGGUAAUGGCUCACCAAGCCCACGAUCCGUAGCUGGUCUGAGAGGAUGAUCAGCCAGACUGGAACUGAGACACGGUCCAGACUCCUACGGGAGGCAGCAGUGAGGAAUCUUCCACAAUGGGCGCAAGCCUGAUCCAGCCAUUCCGCGUGCAGGAUGAAGGCCUUCGGGUUGUAAACUGCUUUUGUACGGAACGAAACGGCUCUCUCUAAUACAGGGGGCUAAUGACGGUACCGUAAGAAUAAGCACCGGCUAA